UACAGAGGGUGCAAGCGUUAAUCGGAAUUACUGGGCGUAAAGCGUGUGUAGGUGGUUAGAUAAGUUAGAUGUGAAAUCCCCGGGCUUAACCUGGGCACUGCGUUAAAACUGUUUAACUAGAGUGCUGUAGAGGGUAGUGGAAUUUCCAGUGUAGCGGUGAAAUGCGUAGAUAUUGGAAGGAACACCAGUGGCGAAGGCGACUACCUGGACAGACACUGACACUGAGACACGAAAGCGUGGGGAGCAAACAGG
rnacentral:rRNA from 1 species